rnacentral:rRNA from 1 species
GAGUCGGGCGGCAGCUACACAUGCAGUCGAGCGGAUGCAGGAGGCGCUUGCACCUCGCUGACGAGCGGCGGUCGGGUGAGUAACGCGUAGGAAUCUACCUGUUAGUGGGGGAUAGCCCAGGGAAACUUGGAUUAAUACCGCAUACGCCCUACGGGGGAAAGUGGGGGAUCUUCGGACCUCACGCUAACAGAUGAGCCUGCGUAGGAUUAGCUGGUUGGUGGGGUAAAGGCCCACCAAGGCGACGAUCCUUAGCUGGUCUGAGAGGAUGAUCAGCCACACUGGGACUGAGACACGGCCCAGACUCCUACGGGAGGCAGCAGUGGGGAAUAUUGGACAAUGGGGGCAACCCUGAUCCAGCCAUGCCGCGUGUGUGAAGAAGGCCUUCGGGUUGUAAAGCACUUUCAGCAGUGAGGAAAGGCGUGCGGUUAAUACCCGUAUGCUGUGACGUUAACUGCAGAAGAAGCACCGGCUAACUCCGUGCCGGCAGCCGCGGUAAUACGGAGGGUGCGAGCGUUAAUCGGAAUUACUGGGCGUAAAGCGCGCGUAGGUGGUUUGGUCAGUCAGAUGUGAAAGCCCCGGGCUCAACCUGGGAAUUGCACCUGAUACUGCCAGGCUAGAGUACGGUAGAGGGAAGUGGAAUUUCCGGUGUAGCGGUGAAAUGCGUAGAGAUCGGAAGGAACACCAGUGGCGAAGGCGACUUCCUGGACUGAUACUGACACUGAGGUGCGAAAGCGUGGGGAGCAAACAGGAUAGAUACCCUGGUAGUCCACGCCGUAAACGAUGUCAACUAGUUGUUGGGAGACUUGAUCUCUUAGUAACGAAGCUAACGCGAUAAGUUGACCGCCUGGGGAGUACGGCCGCAAGGUUAAAACUCAAAUGAAUUGACGGGGGCCCGCACAAGCGGUGAGCAUGUGGUUUAAUUCGAAGCAACGCGAAGAACCUUACCUACUCUGACAUCCAGCGACUUGCAGAGAUGCCUUGUGCCUUCGGGAACGCUGAAACAGGUGCUGCAUGGC